rnacentral:rRNA from 1 species
CGGCGGACGGGUGAGUAACACGUGGGUAACCUACCUAUAAGACUGGGACAACUUCGGGAAACCGGAGCUAAUACCGGAUAAGAUAUCGAACCGCAUGGUUCGAUAGUGAAAGAUGGUUUUGCUAUCACUUAUAGAUGGACCCGCGCCGUAUUAGCUAGUUGGUGAGGUAACGGCUCACCAAGGCAACGAUACGUAGCCGACCUGAGAGGGUGAUCGGCCACACUGGAACUGAGACACGGUCCAGACUCCUACGGGANGGCAGCAGGU